rnacentral:rRNA from 1 species
GACGAACGCUGGCGGCGUGCCUAAUACAUGCAAGUCGAACGCUUCUUUCCUCCCGAGUGCUUGCACUCAAUUGGAAAGAGGAGUGGCGGACGGGUGAGUAACACGUGGGUAACCUACCCAUCAGAGGGGGAUAACACUUGGAAAAAGGUGCUAAUACCGCAUAACAGUUUAUGCCGCAUGGCAUAAGAGUGAAAGGCGCUUUCGGGUGUCGCGGAUGGAUGGACCCGCGGUGCAUUAGCUAGUUGGUGAGGUAACGGCUCACCAAGGCCACGAUGCAUAGCCGACCUGAGAGGGUGAUCGGCCACACUGGGACUGAGACACGGCCCAGACUCCUACGGGAGGCAGCAGUAGGGAAUCUUCGGCAAUGGACGAAAGUCUGACCGAGCAACGCCGCGUGAGUGAAGAAGGUUUUCGGAUCGUAAAACUCUGUUGUUAGAGAAGAACAAGGACGUUAGUAACUGAACGUCCCCUGACGGUAUCUAACCAGAAAGCCACGGCUAACUACGUG